CAAAAGUUUAGGUUAUAAUGGCCUAAACUAAUAAAUAGGAUGAUCUACGGUCAUCCCUAAUUUAGCUUUAAAUCAUUUACUCAAAAAGACUUUAGAUUUGACAUAAAGUAAAUCCAUCAAAUAAGUUAGACAAUAAAUGGUAAAGAUUGGUUGUGUUUGUAUUUGCCUUUUCCUUCUUAUCAUGCUGCUGAUGGGGGCAGCUAGGUAACCAUUCACUGAUGGAUGCCUGGAACUAGACUGAGAGCUUGCAGAGCAAGAGGGAAGAACAGAAAGCAGCUGAUAAAGCUGCUGGUAUUGAUUUGCCUAGAUGAUGAAUCUCUGGAACUGCCUUGAUCAACUUGACCCUUGGAUUUAGACUCCAAAAAAACCACAAGGAUUAGCAUUCCUCUAUAAUAACAGAGAACAGCCAUGUUGGGUUCAUUGCUGUAUACAGGGGAAGGAAAACAUAAUAAUUAGCCUUUUAUUAAAACGUCUACAUUGCUGCUGAGAUUGGGUUGGCUUCCAUUGACAACCAAAUUGCAAGAGCUUUACUCAUUCGAUCUUGAUGGUAUUUCUAAGUGACCACCUACAAGCUAAUGCAACAGUUGGGUUCCUGGCAUCAGUUUCAAUGCUGUUUGCUGGCCAUUGUGUAUUUGUUGCUUGUUAUUUAUUUCUGUCUCUCAUCACAACAACUUAACUUUAGCCCCUAAUUCCAUUACCUCUCCUACUUGCCCACAGUUCCAUUGCUCUAUACAUAUACGAUCUGCCACUAUCUUCUAGAUUUUGCUGGGCUCUAUUACCCUUCUCAAUUAGUUCUUGUUGAUGUGAAAAUAUAUAUUAUUUUGCUCUUGUUUACUUGUGCUUGCUGAUAAUGGGUGACCUUAGAGAAGGCAACAUCCAAUAUCUUUUAUGAGUUCUAUUGGUGCUCCAAACAAUGACACUGAACAAGACAUUUAUGAUAUUGAGAAGUCGUGUCUAAGGAGAGCAAUGUGAGCGGAGAAGGUCCAUGGCACAAAUUGCCUCAACAGAGGUAGAGGGCCAGGGGAACAAACAAGAACAACCACAAGAAGCAGACCAAAACCUCCAUUCGUUCAAGCCAUAAACUUUUAGCAAAGUUUAAUGGCCAUGAAUCUUGCCAAUUUCGUUGAUGUUUGUCUGAGAUUCAAUUCAGAGGAUUUGAACUAGUUGCUUCACUAUACUGCGGAAUCAAAUUCUGAAUUUAAUCACUGUCUUGUUCAAUGAUGCCUUUCUUCUUUCUUUAUUUGUUGAUAUUCUAUUAAACUAGAGUGUUUGCUUGAUUUUAAAAUGCAUGUUUUUGCUUUUUUGCACUUGUAAUAAGCAUAAUAUUAAAUUAAACCCACUGGAUAGUACUGUUGUUUUUAGA